CUGCCCCCCACUGCCCCCCUUCUGUUCCAUAGAAGGGGUGGGGCCUUCCAUGGGGGAUCCUCAGAGUCUGUCGAAUUGUUUGGGGCAGGGGCAUCAUUUUCUUUGGCUGACCAGCUGUUUCUUCUCUUUUGGAGCAAAUGGGGAACUCAGCUGUGAAUAGGGUUAGUUCAGUGAAUGUGUUAGAGGUCAGGCGAAGACUCCAGGGAGAGAGUUGAAACCAAACUACGCCAGUCCUGGUUACUCCCUGGAACACUGGCAUCACUGGAGAGCUUUUUAGAUGUGGAGAAAUCCCAGAACACAUCCCAAUCCUCUGUUCCCAUGAUCCAUUGAGUCAGAACCGGCAUUUACCAGAUGCCAGGUGGUUUAAGCCUGCGAUGAACUUUGGAAUGUGUUGCCCUCAGGGGAUCAGGAUUAAGCUAUUGGAUAUUCACAACACAGCCUGAGUUGAGAUUUUCUCAGAAUUCUCUUACAGGGCCAAACAAAGAAUCAGGGAAUGACUGGCCUACAGAAAAGGGACUAACAAUGCCUGGGUCUCUCCUAUGUUGCUCUCAGACGUGUUUCCGUGAGGGAGGUCUGGAAAGUCCACCAGCUUCACAGUCAGGAGACUGCAGUCGAGGCUUCCCUGACCAGGGUGGUGAGAGCGUGGGCGUCUACGGAUAUAAACAGUCGAGUCUCAACUGCGUGAACAGAUUGUGCAAUUUCACACGGGCUUCUGGCUUUGCCGUGAAGUGGAACACGCUGCCCAUUGUCUCCUUGUCUCUUCUUGCAAAUGAUGGAUUUUCUCCUGUGGCAAGUCGUCGCGGGGAGAGGUCAGACAAUUCUGCGAAGUAUAAAGGGUCUUGAGAGGUCUCUUGCUCCAACCCUGCCCUCUGACAGAAUUAUGUUCAAGCCAUUCCCGCACGGAAAAGGGAAUAACAAAACCUCUCUCCCCCUUUUCUCAAGAGGGUCUUGUGUAAGGUCUUAAGUUUCAAGACAAGCUGGUUAACCAAGUCCAGAGGACUUUGCUGUGAAACACCCAGUUUGAAGCAGACACAGCAAGGAAGGCCCGGGGGACAAAUAAAAUCAGUGAUGGGCGCUUUGCAGACAGGGACCGAAGCGCGGGGCAGAGAGGCUGGGGUUGGGUGAGCUGGAUGUAGCUUGAAAGGCGCCAGGUGAGGCUGGACUCAGUACACGUGGUUUAUAAAUUAGAUACGCCUGCCAGUCACUUGGGCUCCGUGCAGUAGACAGAAAGAGCAGCUGACAUCUCCGUGGUGGGGGACUACCGUGGGUUGCACCCACCAUGCCGCCACACACAGAUGGACACAGAUGAUCAUUUUUCUAUACAGUCUGAAGUGGCUAUCCCCCAUUUACACACAAGAACACGGGGAAGGAGUGAUCCCAAGGCUCCUUGUAACCUUGUGUCCGAGGAGAAACCUACUUUUAAAAGAAGAUUUAUUUUUCCUCUUGAAUCGUGUGUGUGCGUGAGUGUGUGCGUGUGUGUGCGUGAGUGCAGGCACCUGCAGAGGGGAGGGGCACUGGCUGGCCCUCGAGCUGGAGUUGCAGGUGGCUGUGGGUGCUGGGAACUGAACUCCUGUUCUCUGCAAGAGCAGAGCACACUCUUCACCAUGGAGACAGGGCUCCGCCCCCCAAGCCUUACUCCCUUCGAUGACAGCUUUGAGGUUUAGAAACAGGGCUUCUCCAUGUAGCCCUGGCUGUCCUGGAACUCACUCUGUAGACCAGGGCUGGCCUCGAACUCACAGAGAUCUGCCUGCUACUGCUGGAAUUAAAGGUGUGUGUGCCACCACCGCCUGGCUGAAGCUUCUUUCUUUUGCCCAAAGGUUGUCAAGAGAAACUGCCUUUUAGAUAAGCAGUAGCUGUAUAAUUUUAGGUCAGUCAGUUUUGCGGCAAUUUCCCCUCUGUGGACGAAUGAGGUUCCCUUAAGAGUUUGCACAGACUUUGUGUAUUUGAGUUCAGAAUUAAUUCUCCCUUUGUCACCCUUGCCCCUGUUACAUAAUCAUUUAUUUUGCUUUCUGUGUAUGACUGUUUUGCCUGCGUGUAUGUGUGUAUAGCACAUGUGUGUCUGAUGCCUACAGAAGGCAGAAGCGGGCAUCAGAUCUCCUGGAACUGGAGUUACGGAGAGCUGGGAGCUGCCAUGUGGGUGCUAAGAACCGCAUCCAGGUUUCUGGAAGAGCAGCCAGUGCUCUUAACUGUGGAGGCAUUGCGUCAGGACCCCAGCCCCCAUCCCCUGUGAGGACCACAGGAGGCGGACUGUGUGUGCAGUUGGAGCCCUCGGCCUCCCUUUGUGAAUUGUCGUCUGUCUGAGGGGUGGUGAGCGGGGUCCCGUUUCCUCCCUGUGGGCUGCAGAUGGAAUCUCAGACACUCUGUUCCUUGCUGAGUUCUGUCAGCCUCCCUGAGGUGUACAAUCCCUUUGGAGGGCCCAGCUUCCAGCCUGUCCUUUUAAUAAGUGAACACCCACACAUUCAAUGCCCCUGCCACCAUCCUCGCUACAGUGGGCUCAUCAUUGACGUUAAGCUGUUUAUUACAAGGCAAUGAAAAAAUAAAGCUUUUUGUUUCUUCAAAAA